GAGCGAAUUGAUGGGAGCUUGCUCCCUGAUAUUAGCGGCGGACGGGUGAGUAACACGUGGGUAACCUGCCUGUAAGAUUGGGAUAACUCCGGGAAACCGGAGCUAAUACCGGAUAACAUGUUGAACCGCAUGGUUCAACAUUGAAAGAUGGCUUUUGCUAUCACUUACAGAUGGACCCGCGGCGCAUUAGCUAGUUGGUGAGGUAACGGCUCACCAAGGCAACGAUGCGUAGCCGACCUGAGAGGGUGAUCGGCCACACUGGGACUGAGACACGGCCCAGACUCCUACGGGAGGCAGCAGUAGGGAAUCUUCCGCAAUGGACGAAAGUCUGACGGAGCAACGCCGCGUGAACGAUGAAGGCCUUCGGGUCGUAAAGUUCUGUUGUUAGGGAAGAACAAGUACCAGAGUAACUGCUGGUACCUUGACGGUACCUAACCAGAAAGCCACGGCUAACUACGUGCCAGCAGCCGCGGUAAUACGUAGGUGGCAAGCGUUGUCCGGAAUUAUUGGGCGUAAAGCGCGCGCAGGUGGUUUCUUAAGUCUGAUGUGAAAGCCCACGGCUCAACCGUGGAGGGUCAUUGGAAACUGGGGAACUUGAGUGCAGAAGAGGAAAGUGGAAUUCCAAGUGUAGCGGUGAAAUGCGUAGAGAUUUGGAGGAACACCAGUGGCGAAGGCGACUUUCUGGUCUGUAACUGACACUGAGGCGCGAAAGCGUGGGGAGCGAACAGGAUUAGAUACCCUGGUAGUCCACGCCGUAAACGAUGAGUGCUAAGUGUUAGAGGGUUUCCGCCCUUUAGUGCUGCAGCAAACGCAUUAAGCACUCCGCCUGG
rnacentral:rRNA from 1 species